rnacentral:rRNA from 1 species
GAUGAACGCUAGCUGCAGGCUUAACACAUGCAAGUCGAGGGACCGACGCACGGGUAAGAAACACGUAUCCAACCUGCCCUUUACUCAGGGAUAGCCUUUCGAAAGAAAGAUUAAUACCCGAUGUAAAGGAUGGGGAUGCGUUCCAUUAGGUUGUUGGUGAGGUAACGGCUCAUCAAGCCUUCGAUGGCUAGGGGUGCUGAGAGGAAGGUCCCCCACAUCGGAACUGCGACACGGUCCAAUCUCCUACGGGAGGCAGGAGUGAGGAAGAUUGGUCAAUGGGCGUUAGCCUGAACCAGCCAAGUAGCGUGAAGGAUGAAGGCUUAUGGGUCGUAAACUUCUUGUAUAGAAGAAUAUGUAUUAUAUGAAUAAGGAUCGGCUAACUCCGUGCCAGCAGCCGCGGUAAUUC